GACGAACGCUGGCGGCGUGCUUAACACAUGCAAGUCGAGCGGUAAGGCCCUUUCGGGGGUACACGAGCGGCGAACGGGUGAGUAACACGUGGGUGACCUGCCCUCAGCUCUGGGAUAAGCCUGGGAAACCGGGUCUAAUACUGGAUAUGACUCCAUGACGCAUGUUGUGGGGUGGAAAGCCUUGUGCGGCUGAGGAUGGGCCCGCGGCCUAUCAGCUUGUUGGUGGGGUGAGGCCUACCAAGGCGACGACGGGUAGCCGGCCUGAGAGGGCGACCGGCCACACUGGGACUGAGACACGGCCCAGACUCCUACGGGAGGCAGCAGUGGGGAAUCUUGCGCAAUGGGCGAAAGCCUGACGCAGCGACGCCGCGUGAGGGAUGACGGCCUUCGGGUUGUAACC
rnacentral:rRNA from 1 species